rfam:Auricularia subglabra TFB-10046 SS5 ATRDEscaffold_56_Cont1704, whole genome shotgun sequence.
GCGUUAAUGGGGUAGUGGUAACCUUGAUCGUUGCCACUUCACAAGCUGUAUUCGAUCAGCCGGGGGUUCGAUUCCCCCUUAACGCA